rnacentral:rRNA from 1 species
UACAGAGGUGGCAAGCGUUGUUCGGAAUUACUGGGCGUAAAGGGCGCGUAGGCGGUUUCGUAAGUCCCGCGUGAAAGCCCCCGGCUCAACUGGGGAAUGGCACGGGAAACUGCGAGGCUUGAGUUCGGGAGAGGGAAGCGGAAUUCCGGGUGUAGCGGUGAAAUGCGUAGAUAUCCGGAGGAAUACCGGUGGCGAAGGCGGCAUCCUGGACCGACAUUGACGCUGAUGAGCGAAAGCUAGGGGAGCAAACGGG